UGGAGUUUGAUGCUGGAGCGUCAUCAUUGCCUAGUGACUCUCCUAGCAACAGGAAACAUCUGUUUCAGCGUCGACCAAUCAGCAGCCGGUGCAGUAUUGCUCGCUGCACAGAAAGGGGAUAUUUUAAGAGCCGAGAGUGAGCCGAAUACUACAGGGGUUAUAUGAAAAGCAAGACUUCGACAUCUGGGGGCGAAGCGUCAAGUUCACGCGGAGCUGAAAACGGCUACAUUAGGCACAGCAUGAGCUGUUUUUUGAGCCUCUGGUUUGACGAAGAACGCGCGUGCGGGGACUGCUAAUGUGGCUUUAUAAAUAAGAAACCAUUAGGCAAUGUGUGUGAGCCAGAGGAAAGCGUCUCAGGUGAAUAGGGGAUUUGUCAGAGAGGUGUGUGAUUGUGUUUGCGUGAAGCAGUUUUCAGGGUCUUUCCUCUAAGACUGCCCUCAACGGUCAACAACGUCGAAAGUCGCCUACUUUAAGCGCAAAUAUGCGGAAGAGGAGGAUGUUCGGGGAAGCCUACAUGGAUAUUUACAAAAACACCUGAUCCUGCGUGAGGAGCGCAGCUGCAUCCUGCGCCUGUCUCUGCAGAAGCUGCGUUUCCUAGACGACCCUGAGGCUUACCUCCGCCGCUCCGUGCUCAUCAAUAACCUGCUACGCAAGAUCCACCUGGACGAAGCCCAGAGGGAGAGAGAGAAACAGAGAUAUGAAGAGGAAGAGGAGACGGAGUGGAGGCGGAAGAGACUGAAGGUGGUGCUCAAGGAGUUCCAGCAGUACAAGCUGCUGCCGUAUUCAUCUUCCCCAGCCUCAUGCAUCUGUGGCCUGGGCAGCUGCCACACCAUGCCCUCCUGAUCAUGGAGCUUCAAUGCUCCUCUACCAUUUGGAUGAUAAAGUAUAAGAUGUCAUCGUGCACAUGCAGGGGAUUAUUCCAACUGUCUACGACUGAUUUCCAGGAGCCAGCAUUAAGGAAGAAGGGGAUUCGGGUUUGUGUGCAUUUGAGCUUGUGCUGGUGAGCGUGCACUCUGAGGUUUGUGAUGUGACAGGUGUUAUCCAGAUCAGGGUGUGUUUUUCCAACCGGAAAAAAAUAUCAUCCUGUUAUCACUGCCUCACUCUGUUGAUAUGAACUUUGACCACAGACAUUUUGUUUUCAUAAAUUUGCUUGAGUGAGCUAUAAUCCUAAGCAUUGUUUUCAGGGAUAAAAAAGGCAAACAAGAAGCCAUGCACCUUGUGGUUGUUAUUUUAUGUUUUUAGAAGAAAAAAAAAAGAGACGAAAAUUACAAUUUUAAGUGUCAAAGUCCCAGCUGUUCUUUAGGAUAGAGUGAUUUUACUAAAGCUUUGUUGCAGUGAAAUUUACUUUUUUUGUGUAAGUGGCUAAUGAUGUCGAACUAGUAAUGAUUUUUUAAAAGACUUUGAAAGCACUUUAUUUUACAGUCCUGUUCCUCAUGUACAUACUAUGUACUUACUAUGGUAAUUACUUUAACUAUGUAAUAACUAGGUACUAACCCUAAA